rnacentral:lncRNA from 1 species
ACACUCAUGAUUGCAACUCUCAUUGUCACAAACAGACGACCCAGCACCUCUUAAUUCACCCAAGCUGAAGCCAAAUGCGAACCCUGAGAGCCACUUACUAUGAAAAUGUUUUUGCUAUUUAUUUUUGCCUUGAACAGAGCAAGACACCGUCUCAAAAAAAAAAAAAAAGUUUUUCCCAACUUUAGUUGGGAUUUGAAAAGAAUAUUAUUGGUUUUCAUACCAUGAGGUUUCUUAUUUCUUUAUAUAUAUAUAUUUGGAUAAUCAUCUGGUUUUUAUUGAUUACUCAUUAAAACCACGUAAGUUAUUGAUUACUCAUUGAAACCAUGUAAGUAUAUUCUUACAUGGUUUUGGAAACAUGGUAAAUGAACUCCCUGGGUCACUGGGAAAGUUGUAGCACUUCGCUUUUUGGUUCAUACACAUAAUUGUUAGCACUUCCUGAUUCCCAGGGACAUUGCAACACUUCCUGGUUUCCUGGUUCAUAAGGAUAGUUGCAACACUCCCUGGGUCAUCACCCAAGUAGAUGAGUAAUACUUAAAUAAAUAUUUCUUACUCAGCAUUUUGAUGUAUUUAUUCAUAGCCUUAGCUGAGGCAGGAAAAUCACUUGAACCCUGGAGGCAGAGGUUGCAGUAAGUCCACCCUGAAGCACAGUAAAAGCCACAAGACAGAAGUGACUGAUCCCAUCCCAGGGAUCCUAAAGAAGAUUAUCAUCAGACUUCUCAUUGGAAACUUUGGAAGUCGGAAGGCAGUAGGCUGAUAAAUUCAAAAUGCUAAAAAAGAAAACCAAUGAAAACAUGCUAACCAAGAAAAAAAAAUGCUACAUGGCUGAAGAAAUCAUGCAGAAAUCUUAGCAACAUUUUAAAUGAUCCAACAAGGUCUGUUGUUUCUGCGCAAAUAUGGGCAAACAUGAGCUGGUAUAGCUUAUUUUUAUGGGUGCAGGGAGCAUGCAGUUAUCUCCACUAGCAUGUUUUUGUUUGUUUGCUUUGA